UACGUGGGCAGCAAGCGUUGUUCGGAAUUACUGGGCGUAAAGAGUGUGUAGGCGGUGUUCUAAGUCUGUUGUGAAAUCUCCCGGCUUAACUGGGAGGGUGCGGCGGAAACUGGAAUGCUAGAGGAUGGGAGAGGUAAGCGGAAUUCCUGGUGUAGCGGUGAAAUGCGUAGAUAUCAGGAGGAACACCUGUGGUGUAGACAGCUUACUGGACCAUUUCUGACGCUGAGACACGAAAGCGUGGGUAGCAAACAGG
rnacentral:rRNA from 1 species